GAUUUCAUCGGACUCGUCAUCUGUGUAUUCAUCACUGAGAAACCCUUUU
rnacentral:sRNA from 1 species